rnacentral:rRNA from 1 species
GACAGAGGGUGCAAACGUUGUUCGGAUUUACUGGGCGUAAAGCGCGUGUAGGCGGCUUGGCAAGUCGGAUGUGAAAGCCCACGGCUCAACCGUGGAAGCGCAUCCGAAACUGCUUCGCUCGAGUCUCGGAGAGGAAGGUGGAAUGCUUGGUGUAGAGGUGAAAUUCGUAGAUAUCAAGCAGAACACCUGCGGCGAAGGCGGCCUUCUGGACGAUGACUGACGCUGAGGUGCGAAAGCGUGGGGAGCGAACAGG